AUGAAUCAAAACCCUGGAAUAAACCAGCGGUUCAAUGAAGCAAUGGCCAGUGACACUGAAAUACUGACAAGCUUUGUUGUCAAAGCCGCGUGCAAGCAAAUCUUUGAAGGGUUGGGCUCAUUGGUUGACGUAGGAGGUGGCAACGGAUCGCUUUCCAGAAUCAUCUCUGAAGCAUUCCCUGGCAUCAAAUGCACUGUACUCGACCUCCCGCAUGUUGUUGCUAACCUGCCUGAGGCCGACAACUUGAAAUACAUAGCAGGUGACAUGUUUCAGUUUAUCCCUCCGGCAGAUGCCUUUCUCUUCAAGGUAAGAUCCAAUUUUAAAAAUUUAAAACAACUUCUUAACCGUUUUCGUAAAUACCAGAUGAUUUAUUUCAAUUGUUCUGUGUGCAGCACACAUAUCCGGACGUUAGAAUCUUACAAAAUCAGGAUUUGAAUGAUCCAAAUCAGAUUUAAAGUAAAAGCAAAAUGCUACACAACUCUAAAUUUAAUUAACAUUUGGAUUUUACAGAAUCUAGAAGUUUAGGCUUUAGCAUGAUCAUUUACGUAGUCAUUCUCUAGUGCGGUUACCCUCAUUUUUUCGAGUGUAGAUUCGAAGUUUACCAUAUUGGUAAAGGCUUGUAUAACAUUGAAACUUAUUUUUUCAUAACUUAUAUGUAUAUGUAUUUAUAUGUGCGUGUGUGUGUUUAUAGGCGGAGUAGUAAAGCGUUUUAUCUACAACACUAUAAAAUUAUUUUACAAUAUUUAAAACAACCAAUCUGCAUUCUAAAAAGUAUGAUUUGUGUAUGUGUGCGCGCAUAGAUAGAUAGAUAGAUAGAUAGACACACGCACGAACUGAGAUUUUAUUAAAAGGAAAAGUUAUAUUUUAACUAAAAUGUCAGAUCAAACAACAGAACUGCACUAUAAGUAGUGGAUAUUAAUUAAAUGAGUGAUUGGCAUGGUUGCAGUUGAUUUUUCAUGGAUUAGGUGAUGAGGAUGGGUUGAAGAUACUGAAGAAACGCAGAGAAGCAAUUGCAAGCAAUGGUAAGAGAGGAAAGGUCAUAAUAAUAGAUAUUGUUAUCAAUGCAGAGGAAGAGGAACGCGAAUUAACCGAAACAAAGUUCUUGUUUGACAUUUUGAUGAGCGUUAACGCUAAUGGAAAAGAGAGAACUGAAAGUGAAUGGGCAAAGCUAUUCUCCGACGCUGGUUUCAGUCACUACAAAAUAACACCUAUAUUUGGCAUGAGAUCCCUCAUUGAAGUCUAUCCAUAAAGAAUUGAGUAACCGUAUUCCCGCAAGUCUCUUGUACUGCUUGAUGGAAUAGCAAAGUUUCGUUCAAGAUGUAUGCGUAGUAGUUGAAAUGUCUCGUAAUGACUAGAAAAUGAGGUGACACACGGGUUUGAAUAUAGGAUGAGUCACUCAAUUAAAAUGCUAUAGUCUUUUGGUAUGGAAACUUAAAUAUCCUAGACCACCCUUUAAUAUAUUAAGAAUAAAGGAUUAGUGUGUACCGUGUUAUAUUGCAUUUUUAUAUUGUUUCCAGCAUCUGCUCUUAUGUUUUAUCUUUACUAAUUAAAUUAAAUUACGAUCUUUCUUAAGUUAUUGUGUUCCCAAAACAAGUAACUGCAAAAUAAUUUAUAUUGUUACUUUGGAUAUCUUCAAUUAGGUUGUACAUUAAUGAUAAAUGAUUCAAAAUUUAUAUUUGCAAUGUAAGUAAAAAAUAAUAAUAAUUUGUAAAAAAAUUUAAAAAGCAAAAAUCACUACUAGAAAAAUGGCUUUUACUGACACUCGUCUUCUGACACUUUUCUAAAAAGUAUCAGUAGUUACAUAUAUUUGGGUCAUUUUCCGUGUUUAACAGACAAAUGUCACAAGUUACUAAUUCUAUAGUGUUUGUAGAUUAAACAUCAGAGAUUAUCGACACUAUGGUAUCAUAAACAACAAAAAAAAAAGUCUAUUUUUGUUUUAAUUGCUACUCGAACCUAAGACCUCAAAACUGGAGUGCUUUAUGUUCAAACAACAAACCACCAGGCCAAAUUCGUAUUUUAGUUUAUGUUGAAAAUGUUCAAAUUAUCAUAUUAAAAUAACAACAAUAUAAAGCAAAAGCAAAAAACCCUAAAAUCAACAUAAACAUAAAAUUCUCUAACUUCUAAUUCUAUGGCCAGCCGCCUCAUCUCUCUGGCAAGAUCCUUCUUCUUCUUCGUACCUCUAAAAAUUCUCCCCUUCGAGCCCUAAAAUUCAAGGGUCCAUGCCAUGGGAAAUCCUAACAACAUUGCUCAAAUUCUAAGACCCAUACCAUACGAAACCCUAACGAGCUACAUGAGGUUGCGAAACAUCCACCAUGCCACUAAAGACCCAUAUAUAUAUAUUUUUUUUCGUCUCGCAAGUCACCUGCGACUGAGUCUCGCUGUCUCAAGCGUUGAUUAAUGGCGGCCUCCGUUGCACGAUCACAGCUGACCCCACUUUCGCGACAGAUCACUGCUAAACCCUCUCAGUCGGAUCAAACACCAAAAUGCAUCGUCAGAUUCCGUCUGCUUAACAUCCCACGGUGGUUUAACGUUACCGUUAAGGCCUCUAUUAACAGAAACGAUGAGAAAAUCGGCUAUAACAAUAACAAAACCGCUCUGGCGCUUCACCGGCAGAGCAUUCUCGAUGAUGAUGAAGAGGACGCCGCUUCGAAGGAUUUGUUGAAUUCGCUUCCCCGUAUGAGAAAUAUCCAUCUUGUCCUUCUCCUUUAUUCGCUUUUAUUUGAUUUUAUUCUCUCUCGCUCUCUUUCUUUUUUUAAUUAUUGUAUAGGUUUGGUUUGUGUUUCAGGGCCUUUGUCUUCGGCUCAGUUUUCAAAUUUUGUAUCCGACGGGUCCCGCCUUCGAGUUGCGUACCAGGUAUUUGUUUCAUUUCCGCAAAACCGCAGCUACUUAUGUAUAAUUUUGAAAAUUUUAUGAUUUGAUGAGAUUUUGUAAAUAUUUGAUUGAUAAUUAUAAUUGAAGGGAGUUCGUGGAGCUUACAGCUACUUCAGUGUGUUUCCUUGCUUAUGCUGGUAUCUUUUUUUUUUCCCCUUGAUGGUAUGUUGGUUAACUGGGUGUUAAGAAAUAAGAAGUAUAUUUAUGUUUUUUUCUUUCUAAUAUUAUUUUUUUAGAAGCUCUAUUUAUUCUCUUUCACUUUGGAAAAAUCAAUCAAUGAUCUUUAGAACUAACAUAGAUGGGUUUUCAUGGGCUCUUUCCAUGGGAAGCGCAAGUUUGUUUUCUGGUUGCAAGAUCUGUCAAUGGAAUAUUUGUAGAGAUGCAUGUGGUACAGUUAAAAUGUUACAUGCCCUCACUUCCUGAUAGCUUUAUCAUUAUGUUGGUGGUGCUGUUAAGGAUUUAGGCAUAGCUACUUGAAUUUUAAUUUUGGAGGCUGUUCUGUUAAUAUUUUGGUUUAGUUAAUAAUUGAAAUUCAGACUACCAUGAAAAGAAGUUGAAUUGUAUUACAUAACUUACUCAAGUCUGUAACAUUGCCAUGGCUAAAUAGAAAUUUCACUUUCCUUGCCAAGUGAAAGAAAGGAGGAAUUUUGAUGUAAUCAAUGCUUGGUAAGGUCUAGACAGUAGUAUCAAUCAUACUUCCUAUGUACAAAAUUUUCUUCACUUGGUGUUGGAAGCAAUUGUUAUUGUUGCAGUCCUGUUUUAUUUAUACAUAGAGCAGGUUCAGGAUUGAGAUGUUGUUAAUAUUUUCGUUUAGUUAAUUAUUGAAAUUCAUAUUCUUGUCUUAAGAACCAGUUUCAAUGACUUUGUUUGAAUGUUCAAAUAUUUGUGCAGGGUGGUAUGCGAGUUUAAAUUUUUGAGCAUGACACAUCACCACCAGGUAUCCGUAUGCUCUAAACCUUCUGUAUAUAUUUCUCAACUUUUGAUGAGCUUACAAAGCAUGGACUCUGUAUUCUGAUUGCUGCAUGUUUCUACUCUUUCUUCUUUUGUUUUAAAGCAUGAACUCAGUAUUCUGAUUGCUGCAUGUUUCUACUCUUUCUUCCAUGUGCAAAGGAAGGAUUAUAAGCCAAUAUUCAUAAAAAUAACCAUUCCAUAGUCAAAUUAUAAGUUAUAAAGUUUAAGUAAAUAGAUUUCACAAUAAUUUGUAUGCAACCGUAACUGCAAUUGUGGGAAAUAAAUUAGGAUAAAUAUCAUCUCAACCAUAACUGCCAUUGGAUUAAUUAUAGUCAUAUUAUAAGUUAUAAAGUUCAAUUUAAUGGUAAUUACGUCAUUUUUUUAUUUUUGUUAAAUCAAGUUUUUUUUUUUUAUGUUUGAGUUUUGUGUUGUGAAUUUGAUAAAAGUUUAUUUCUGUUAACCAUUUUUUCUCUCACAUGGUUGGAAAUUAACAUGCAAUUUUUUUUCCCUUUUCCAUGUAUUCAUUUGCAGAUUUGAUCAAUGUGUUUGAAGUUUCUUUUUUCUCAACUUCACUUGUAUUCUAACCCAUCCACUAUUGAAUGGAGAAUGGAGAAGCUACUGUUGUGUUAACGUAAUUGCACUACUUAUGUUCAAAUAGUGGAGGCAAUCAUCCUUUUCAUUUUAGCUUCUAGAAAUGUUAAAUUUAGCCACAACUAGUAGGCAUCUGAUUGGAUGUGGCAGAAAUUUUUAUGUAUGUAAUUUAGAUUAUUCAGUUAUGAGAGUGAGAUUUCGCAUCUCUUGUUUGUUGGAGUGUUGGAAUUUGUAAUGUGUACUAAUAAUAUUUAAAUAUGAAAUGAAAGAUUUUAUAAUAUAAAUUAAGCUUUUUUGGUUACUUUGUGGUGUUUUUUAAUUUCACCAAUAAAUCAAUACGCAAUGAGCUAAUUCAAAUUUUUAUUUUUUUAAAUAAAUUAAAUAGUGAUACUAUAGUAACAGUAAUUAUAGACACUAAUGUGAUAUCAAUAAUUACUAAUACUAUGGUGUUAUGAUUUUAGUGAUACUAUAGUAAUAGUAAUCACUGACACCACUUACAAGUGUCACAAUUUUUCUGACUCCCAGAUUACUGACACAAUUAAUAAGUGUCACUAAAAGUAAUUACUGACACCAUUCUAAUGUCAGUAAAGACCAUUUUUCUAGUAGUGAAUAACCUAUUCAAAUUAAUGAGUAAUAUUACUAUUCAAAAUUAAUAUUUCAAAAGUAUAACAUCCCCACGAUUCUUCUAAGCCAAUCAGAAACAUCAUUGGCUAAGAUUGUUUGAUGUAAGCCAAAAUUGAAGUUUAAUUAUUUUAUUUAGUAUUUUAAUUUUUUCAAGCAGAAUUUAUAAUUGGACUUGUAUUUGGGGUGCAUGGAUUCUGUUUUCCGGUUUACUAUUAGAAAGAUUAUGUCACGGGCUUAAUAAUUUAUCAUUAAAAUCCUUAUUUUAUGCGAGGGUUUUAUCUAUCUUGAUCACAUUUCCACUAUGUUAUUACAAAAAUCUUCAAUUAACAUGCAGUAUAAUAUCCAAGUCAACUCAAUCAAGUGAAGCUAAUUAAAACUGAGGAUCAAAUAGCACAAUCAACCUUACAUAACAAGCAAGAAUAAUGGAAGCCAUGAAUUAAUCACUAGCCGUUAGACCUCUAUUCGUUUCUUUUAAUUUAACUAGGUGGAAGCCAAGAAUCUUGGGCAAAACACUAUGCCCCAUAUUGUCUAUGCAUCCAACGAUUCGUCAAUGAAACUUUUUUUUUAUGGUAUCACAGCCAAUCUUGAGAGUCACAGACAUGCAUGGUUAUUAUGUUUCAAUGAAAAAGAGUUUGCCACUAGUGAACCUCUUAAGAAAGUUGGCUUGCUUGAAUGUAGAUCAGUAUACAAAAGAAAUUCGAAGCUAUUUUUGAUUGUUUGGCUGCCGUCAAGAAACCAGUGGAAGAUGUCGAUAAACAGUGGCAAUUGGCACGUGGACUUGGACCAGACUUGAGACCUGAAGGUAGCGAUGCUGGGAAAACCUCCAUACGGUCAAUUUGGUCCUUUUAAGGUUCAAAAAGUUGAAUUAAUUUUCUUGUAAUGCAAGCUAGUAUCUAAGAUGGUCAAUGGAUCUAGAGAUGGUGGAAAUAAAAAAACACUUAAAGAAAGAUGUAAUUGAUUGAUUAUGUUAACUGCUAGCUCAUUUGUAAAUUUGAAAGAUAACGAAGACUCUAUUGUAAUUCACCCCAUUAAGUGCAGUGUGAUUAUACAAAGAGUAGUAUUAGGCAUCUUGAAAUUUUACCUCAAAUGAUAUGAUAUUCAUAACGAUGGCAUAGUUUAAUUAACUCACGUAAUAUUUGUGAAUAACAUGUUACAUACCAUGCAUAUCACAUAAUAUUUCAGUGUGAAUAUUAUUUUCUCUUUAAUGAUAAAUUGUAUUGUGGGCAUUUAAAUAUACAAUAUUGUAAAAUUUAACUAAAGAGUUGGUGUAACCAAAUAUUUUGAUAAGGAUAUCUAAUGAAAUUUCAAAUAAAUUUCAUUUUGAUCUUAAAUUCCAAGCGACCUGCAGAAUAUAUACACUACGAUUUAUUCAGAGCAAUCCGAAAACGAAAUAGUAUGAGCUUCAGUUUGAUUAAAUAUUUUUCCCAAUACAUUCAGAUUUCAGAAAGUUUCAAAAGAAAGCUGAAAAAAUAUAUCAAUAAUUGAAAUGAAAAAAGUUAGAAGGAGGUAUCUAAAAGUCAAUUUCAACGCCAAUGAUGUGUAAUUCCACAUGAGUAAACUAAUUAAUUGCCAUGAGAAAACGAAACGAAAAGAAAAGAAAGGUGCGUAAAAUUUAAUUUGACAAUAACAGCUACGUUCUCCAACCGCCCCCCCCCCCCCCCCCCCCCCCCAACACCAAAAAAAGGCAUAAAUUUCGUUUGACAAUGAUGUCCUGAUAUCCAUGACGUCAACUUGGGAAAGGAAAAAAAAAAAAUUUCAUCAUAAAGAAAUUUCAUUUGACAUAUUAUCAUUUAUCUUGCUUCGCUUGGUAUCAUUUGUGCAUUUUAUUGUCUUUGAAGCAUAUAUAUUUUUUAGUUUGGUACUAUGUUGGUGUUAUUUUAAUUUAUAUAUUAAGAAACGUGAUUGUUAUAUGGAAGAAAUAUUUUGCUGAAAUAAUGGGAUUCAUUCUAAACCUAGACAUUGACUAACUAGCCGUACACUACAAGAAAAUGAGACAUUUCCAAGAAAUAAAAGAAAAUGAGACAUUUCCAAGAAAUAAAAGAUACACUGUCGGAAAUAGACUUAUUUUCACUACAAGAAAAAAUAGAAUACUUGACAUUUUUUAUUUGAUAAUUUUUAAGAAAUAUCAAAUAAAUAUGAUAUUUUGUGAAAAAUUGAGUAAUUGUGAAAUAUAAAUGACAAUUUAUUUAAACGUCAAAUACUUAUGACGUUUUACCAAAUAAGUGGAAAUAUAUUAUAUAUUUAUUGAAUAAUUACCAUUUACGUUUUCCUUUUAUUGACUUAAGAAAAAAACAAAAAACGCACAUGUUGUGGACCUGUAAUUGAUAUGGUAUUAAGUCCAGAUGCCCAUCUUGCCCGUCUUCCAAGAAUUUCAGCUUGCUUUAGCCUAGUGAGCUUGUUUCGUUCACAUAUCACAUUUGGAAUGCCUUUGUUUCUUUUAAGAAAAUUCAAACUUGUAUUUCUUUUCAAUAAUCACCUCGCAUUUUUUAUCAAUCACUCAAUUUCAAAUUUCAUCUCCAUCCUCUCUCGAAGAAGAACGCACAAAGAAUUUCAGCUUGCUUUAGCCUCAUUUGCUUCUCGAAUUUCAGGUAUUGUUUCCUUUAAUUUUUAUAAUUUUUUUCUACUUCUCUCUUUCUGGUUUGAUAAUUUUAGGGUUAUAGUUGAAUUAUUUGUAUUUUUAAACAAUCUAGGGUUGAUUUAAUUGAUUCCAAGUGUCGUAUCUGCUCUGCUAUUUGAAUGCACAUUACUUGUUUGAUGAAAUGUCUCUUUAAAAGAUUAUUUUUGUUUUUAACAAGCAUCUUAUUGAGAUGUUUCUCGUAAUAUAUUAACGUAAUGCACUUAGCUUCAUUUUGGUCUGUUUAAUACAUUUUAACAAAGGAAAUUUACAGAACUGCAACAAUUCUCAAAUUGCUUGCAAAUUGGAAGUAAUGUUAUUGAUUUUUAUUAAUUAAUGAGAUUUUAAUUUAUCUUCUUACCAUAUAAUCCUAGGUUAGUUAUUUUGUUGCUUUAAAUAUCUUUGUUUAUCUACUUAGUUUUUACUUUUUAAUUAGUAUUUUUUUCUAACUCUUUAUUCAUUUGUUAAUAGUUGUCAUUGGAUCUUGCUUGUGAUCGACUUGCCCUCAAUGGUUGUUCAUUAUUUGAAUUCAGUGAGAAAUGAAAUCAGUGUUGAUAUAAAAAAAAAUUGUAACUGUGUAAGUAUAUUAAAGAUAUUUAGCUAUAAGUGUACUAGUGGUUUUUGCUAUAGAUAUAAUUAUUGAGUUUAAUAUUUCGUAUUUGAUUUGUAUUUUUUUGUAGUGGGAUUCGAAUGUUUCUUGCCAAAAAAGGACAGCAAAUGAAAAAGAUUAAUUUGAAAUGGAAUGAUGUUAAGGUGCCUAUGCAAAUUGGUAAUGUUGAAUGCGGCUACUAUGUCAUGUGAUUCAUGAAGGAGAUUAUUGCAGAUCAAAGUAUACUUUGUGCAAAGGUUAGAUCAUUAACAUAGCUUAAACUUAUUGCAGAUUUUACAGAGAAAUGUGGUUAAAAUGAAGCCUAUGAAUUGAAGGAGUGACAAAUAAAUAUAGUUUUCUGUCUUUUGAUGUCAGUUUAAUGAAAAAGAUACUUAUAAUAAAGAUGAGAUCAACGAAAUUCGCUCUGAUUGGACCACUUAUGUUAGUGACUUGAUUUGAAAAAAAAUGCAAAAGAGACAAGUAAUGCAGGUAAAUAGCAUACGAUUCAAUUGAAGUACAUUAGUUUAUUGUUAAUAUUUUUCAUGCAUAGAUUUUUCCUUCUCUUUGUGCAUAGAUAUCUUAUGCUUUCAUUGCAUAAGGCAACUAUAUCAUCUAGUUGGAUUCAUAAUAAAAGCUCUCAGUUAAUUCAAUCAAAAUUUGUCAAUGCCUUACUGGUAACCAUGACUUACUUUUUUAGCCUCUUCCUUAAACAAUAACAGUAGUAUAUGGCAGUAAUUUUGGUUUCUUGAUGUGUAGGGCUAUGUGGGAGUGUAGGUGGUGUUGGUGGGGGUGGCAUAUUUGUUCCUGUACUUAUCUGAUUAUUGGAUUUGAUCCAAAAUCAUCUGUAGCACUAUCAAAAUGUAAGUGAAACAAACCCCUCUUUUACAGAUACAAUCUUGGUUGUUCAAGACAAUCAUAUGCUUACUCUCACAGUCGUUUUAACCCUCAUGACUGAGCAGGUAUGAUCACUGGUACUGUGGUUGCUACUGUUGUCUACAAUCUAAGGCAAAGGCAUCCCACACUUGAUAUGCCCGUUAUCGACUAUGACCUUGCACUUUUGUUUCAACCCAUGUUGGUUCUGGGGAUCAGUAUUGGAGUUGCUUUUAAUGUGAUUUUAAGCACAGGAACACAUUUUCCUUUUGUACGUACAACGCUGCUAUGAAAAACAUUUGGACCGAUGGUGGAAUGCUAACUAUAGGCUCAAUGUAUAGUUUUAGAAACAAUCUUAUUUUAGAUUUAUACUUAAGACAUUUGAUACAUUUAUACAUACAAUGCAAGUUCAUUUUAAUAUGAAUUCAGGUUUCCUAUGCUUUAUUAUGGUGUUUGAAGUUAGUUGAAAAAUUUUGAAUUUUAUCAAGUUUCAAUGUUAUAAUAUAUAUUAUGUGCAGCCCAAGACAAGGAAUUAUAAUAUUUGAUAUUUUUAUCAAGUCAUUUGCAUUUGACCAUUUUGAAUAAUGUCACAUGUAUAUGACUAUUAUUAUGUGUCAUACACAUUUGACAAUCUUAUAUUGUGAAAAAUAUUUGAUUAUUAUUAAUUGACAAAAAUAAAUGACAAUUUUACUAAAUGUCAAAUAAGCAUAUUUGACACAGGAAUAUUUGGCACUUUUUAAUUGUCAAAUAUUCAUUUAUUUGACAGUUUUUAAAUAUCAAUUAUUCUCUUUUUUCUUAUAGUGUAUAUAAUUAAUUUGUUGUUUAAUGACCCCCAUUAUUUUAUAUAAUAACAUUAUUUUAUUAUUUUAUUAUUUUUAUUGUUGAAAUAUCUAUAUUAGGGAAGUAAUGUAACAAACAUAAUAAUAAUAUACGAAAUAUACUAAAUGUAAUUUCAUUAAUUUCAACAAUUUAUAAAAUCACAUUCAUCAUUCAAAAAUGCAACAAAAAUAUCAAUUUUAUAAUAUCUUUUACAGAAAAAAAAACCAAAUUAUAAACAAAAUGAUAUCACCAUAUCUUAGAUAUGUUCAAUCAUCCUCUAAAACAACUUGAGUUGCUGAAUCAUUUGCCUCAACUUCAUCAUCCUCAUACCCAUCAUCAUCUUCUCUCGUCAAAACAAUGUCCUAGGUGAAAGAAGGAAUUUUAAUCAUUAUUAUUACCAAAACAAGAACUUGUAUAAAACAUAAUCAAGAAGCUGAGACUAAUGAGAAAAAUAUUGUAAUAAAAACAAGUUUAUAUAGAUGCAUAGUCUCCAUUUCAAAAAAACUAAUAAUUAUUUCAUCAUUCACCUAUAUUAGAAGCUUGUCCAUAAUUACUUAAGUUCAUCAACUAAUAGAGCAAUGACAAGUCACCAAUCAUUUUUUGUGAGAACUCAAAGCAUAGAAAAAUUCAUUCACUUAAUCUAUUAAUAAAAUGAAAUAAACAAUCUAUACCUUACGACAUGAUUCUUGUACAGACUUUCCAAGAACAAGUUUUAUCAUUCUUUUCAACUUCUGGAUUCCUUUCUCUAAGUCUUUUACUUUUACUUCUAAAUUACUACAUUGAUGCUUGUUACGUCCUUGACUUGGAGAACCAUACACAUCCUUGCCUUUGAUGCCUGCUCCCUGACCAACAACACGACCAUGUGCUGCUUCUCUUGUCACUUCUUGAUAUAUUUUCCAUUCAUCCACUGGCAAGCCUUGAUCUACAACAGUGGAUCUCAUUGAUUCCAUUGUUUCCUAUAAUAAAUAAAUACAUUUGUGUGAGUGCAUAUAGUAAUGAAAUCAUGCAAAUAAAUCAGGAAUAUUAUGAAAAUUUAAUAUCAAAUACACACAUGCAUUUCCUUUGCCUUGUUACUUGCCAAUGUCCCCUUACAUGAAACAUCUUGAAUAAAUUAAGUGGCUUAAGUUCAGUACCUAUUUGUUACUGCAAUAAAGAAUUGAAAUUGAAUAUGAUCAUAAUAAAUAAACGCACUUCUUUUAUGAGCAAAGUCAAAUAUUUAUCUUCCCAUUUUCUUUUCUAUGCUUAGCCAUUGGGACGAACUUGUAGUAUGAAUAAGUUUGGACUUGGUUCAAUUCCUCUUGCUUGUUGUGCUUGUUUUCUAUAUAUAAGUUAAAAAAAAGCAUAAAAUCAACUUUGUUAUUCUAAAUCUAUUGUUGAGUACUAGAGAAUGCAUAUUUAUAGAGGGUAAAAUUGUCAUUUUAUGCUCGAAGUCUCACUAACAUUUUCACUUUUACGUGUUUAAAUUCUCUAAGCUUUUAUAAUCUGUGUUUUAUUAUAAUUUAAGUAUUUUAUGUAUUUCAGGGAUAUUUUAAUCAUUUCAUAACUAACGAGAAGUCAGACAGCAAAACGGAUGGCAUUUUUGAACUCAGAAUGGUUGAAAAUUUUAGGAGGAGUAUAAAUGAGUAUUCGACAUAUAUAUGGUACCGUUCAAAUAUAAGGUAAUAUUCACAAGUACAGCAUUGUUUCACAUAUACGAUAUGAUAAUGUGGCAUUGCAAUGAUGUAGCAGGAUGCUACUGGACCAAAAUACUGAUGUAGCAUUGGCUGAUGAUGUGGCAGCAUCUUAUGGGACCGAAAUGCUGAUGUGGUGUUGACUAAUGAUGUGUACCAACUAAUCAAAGCUUGCCAUGUGGCGCAAUCGUGAGCGUCCGAAUUGUUUUCAUCUGAUGGCCACGAUUUACCCAUUGUAUAUGUAAUAGAGGGCUCCUCAGCCUAAUUUAACACCCUUGAAUUCAUUUUCGAGCUCCAUUUUCUAUAAUUCUCUCACCAUCUUGUAUUUUCUACAUAUUUUAAUAAAAUUAUCAGUUUACCCCUUAUUCAAUAAUAAGUGGCUAAUUUUGUUUCAAACUUGGGUUAAAGGUAAAAUCUCAACAUGAUCCAUGGGCUUAGGUAAAUUUAAUUUAUUUUUCUUUUUAUUUAUGUUGUUGUUUUGAUUCAUUGCCAUAAUAUAAGAAACUUUGCAUCUAAUAACUUUUCCAACCUUUUAUGAUGUAGAUUUUUCUGAAAGUUGAAUUGCAAUUCAAUGUUUGCUUAUCCAAUUAUUUAUUGGACAAAAAGGAAUUUAAAAAUAAAACUUUAGUCAUUUUAAAAGAAUCGAACAUGCUACCAACUCUCUUGUUAGAAGUUGUAAUUUAAUUUAUAGAUUCUAGGCUUCCAUGAACUUGUGAAGUAUUAAGUUAUUUCUACAGUAAAACACCCCUUGGUAAAUUGCAAGGGUUGUUUUCACUAUAGAACGACAAUAAGACAGCCUUUGUAGAUUUUUAGGGGCUUUUUGCUGUGUUCUAAAAUCAAAACAGCUCUUAGCAAUUCUUUGGACUAUUUUGUUUUGAAAACAUUUUGAAGAUUGUUGAGGAAAAAGGGAAAUAACAGCAUUAUUUUUUUAGGAGGCUUGAUGAUGAGUUUGAUAAAUUUUGCAAGUGUUACCAGACUAAAGUUAAAAAGUUUAUGUUGAGGCUAAAAGUUUAGGUGAGUAAAUGCACAUUUUGGUCCCUCUCGGGAUAAAAACUAAGAAAUUGGAAGGAGUUAUGCAGGAUUCUGUACAACAAGCCUAAAGAACAAAAGCAUGAAAGCAGGAUGAUUUUGAAAAUUCUUGAAUAGUAUAUAUCUCUAUUUGCUUUUAUACUAUAUCUGUGGCAUUAUUUUUGAAGUUUGACAAUAUUAAUCUUGCAAUUAAUACUUUAAUGCAAAGAAGGAAUACACUCAGGAUGAACUUAAUGAGGUUCUUUUGGAGUGGGCUAACCAUUUUUUUCCACAUCCUUGUCGCAUUUGCAAAUUGGUUAGUAUAAGUAUGAAACUAUAGAUGCACCUUGUUAUUAGUUGUUACAAUUUGUUGAAAUUAAAGUUGAAGUGUUAAACUAUAAUGGUUGUUGUUAAGGAUUGUAGUAUAGAUGAUAUGCAUUUGAUAAUAUUAGGUAUUUUGAUUGAUUUUGGUGUAGAUUGGGUUGCUGGGUAUAGGUCAGAGUGUUGCUGUGUAUAUUGCUAGAGUUAGAGCAUUGUCGCAAGAUGGUGGGUUGUUACGUAUGAUUUGGGGUAUUAGUUGGAGUGUUGCUGGGUAUGUGGCUGGAAUUAUGAUCAAGAUGCAUGAGCCUUAAGUGGGUGAAUUUGAGGCAGGAUUUUAAUGUUCACUGAAGCACUCAACUACUUACAACAACUCCUAAAUGCAUAUGAAGUAAUUACUGCCACAAUAAUGGAGGUAUCGUUCAAAUUUUUAUUUAGAGACAGUCAUCUGGGUUUCAACUAUAAAUAAAAUCUGCAUUUGCAUAUAGUCUCAGUGUCUCUAAUGGCUGAUAUUUAAAAACAAUGUCCAGCUCAGCUUAGGUGUUGAUGCAUUGACCAAUUAAAUCAACGAUAAAUAAAUUACUAGAAAGAUUAACAUUAUGAUAUUCUUGAAAACAAUCGUUUGAUGAUUAUAAAUCCAUUAGAGGUUUCAUUUCGACUGAUAGAGAUGUUUCCAAGGAAACAUAUUUAGGUUUUUUUUUUUUCCGUGAAAAUAAGUCCUGAAAAAGAACUUAGUACCUUCACUUUAGAAUUGACAUUUGUGGAUCAGGAAUUGGCUUGGAACGCAAGAGAGGGGUUUAGAUAAUUAGCACUCACAAAUAAUACAACUCGUAUUAUUGAAAAAAAAAAUAACUUGUAUUCUGAUUUUGAUUGUUUACAAAGUGUGAAUUUACAAAAGUUAUGUACAUAAUGAAAUAACUAGCUAUCAGAGAUUUAAUUACAUAACUACAUAAAUACAGCUGCAGUACAUAAUAUGCUUUCCUAAACUACAAAAUAGGUAAUAAAAUACUUUCUUUUUUGAGAUACAUGAUAUUAUAAAUUCUUGAUAGGUAAAUUCAAUGAUAACCUUGACUUGUGCAAGCUAUGUUGUGUGUUUUAACUGUUGGCAAAUUUUCUUUUAUUGACCAUUUACAGCUUGCUUAUUACUCCCCCUCAAGUUGGCAAGUGAUAUACGAUCUGGAUGCUAAGGUUUUGUCAAAAAUUGGGAAACAUGACUUUCGAGAGAGCUUUGGUGAAUACAUAGAUAAUUUCUAUGUAUGGCAAUGGGGAGGGGAGGGGAGGGGACCGACAUCCCCGCACCCAUCCCCGAUGUUAUUUAUAUAUCCCCGUCCCCAUUAGAAUUGCUUGAGGGGAUCCCCGUCCCCUCCCCGAAUAAUAAGAGGGGAUUCCUGAGGGGAGGGGACGGGGAUCACCAAGGAGUCCCGAAUCUCCGAAUAAGUAAUAUAUUUUUAUUUUUGAACUUGAUUUAAUCAUAUUAAAAUAAAAAUUUAAACAAAGGUAAGGUUUGACAAUAUAUCUUAGAUUAACAUGGUCGGGCAAUGAAUAACGUCAGAAGCGAAUUUAGAAGAUUAAAUCCACCCACAUUUGAAGGCAGUAUAGAUCCUAUCGUAGCAAACCAAUGGUUGCGAACCAUGGAAAGAAUGAUAGAAGUAUGCAAAGUACCAGAAUAAAAAAAAGGUCUCAUGUGUAUCCUUUAUGCUACGAGGAGCGGCAGAAUACUGGUGGGACUCAGUUAAACGAAUUUAAAAUGAAGCAAUAAUGCAAUGGGUGGAAUUUAAAGAACACUUCUAUAACAAAUACUUUUCAGAGAAUGUUCGCUCAGCCAAAAGAAGAGAGUUUGUUUAUUUAUAAUAAGGAAGUAUGUCUGUGCUAGAGUACAUCCGAAAAUUUGAUGAGCUCUCUCGAUAUGCUCCACAUAUGGUUGCAACGGAAGACUUGAAAAAUGACCACUUUAUGCAAGGAUUGCAUAAAAAUCUCACAAAAGACUUAAAGGUAGCUAGAGUUCAUGAUGCUUCCUUCAACGAUCUAAUCGAUCGAGCCUUGGUAAUUGAACAAGCAGAUGAAGAAAAGAAGGAAGAAAAACGAAGAAACAAAAGAAGUAUGGACCAGGGGAACUUUAUAAAACAACAGUCAAAUAAUAAUAAGAGAAAGGGAACCCAAUGGUCUAAGAUUAGAGUAAAAGCAAACGCCAAAGAAUCAUCAGAAGGAAGUCCUACAAAAACCAAAGUGCAAUCAAUACGGUAGAACUCACCUUGGACAAUGUUGAGCACAUACCAGAACAUAUUUCAAAUGUGGAAAGGAAGACACUUCAUUGGGGACUACUAGGAAAAUGGUACGCAACAAGAAAAGACUAAUGCUUGAGUAUUCACACUCACCGAGACGGAUGCAUAAGGAAACCUCUCAGUAAUAUCAGGUGAACUAUCUAACUCCAAAACUCAUGCAUAUGUGCUAAUAAACUCAGGAGCGACACAUUCAUUUGCCUCACCAGCAUUCAUUAAGAAAAUAAAAAAUGUCCCUGGCAUAAUAAAUAGGCCUUUUAGUGUCAUGGUAUCAUCUGGUGAAAUAUUGAAUUCAGGACAAUUAGUUAAGGCAUGUGAGGUUGGUAUUAGUGGUAAUACACUAUAUGUUGACCUAAUAAUUAUUAAGAUGCAUGACUAUGACAUAAUUCUUGGCAUGGAUUAGUUAUGGAAGCACUAUGCCAAGAUAUAUUGUAAGAAAAAGAAGGUAACUUUUCGACCAUCACAAAAGGAAUCGUUUACAUUUAAAGGAGAAUGCAAAGAGAACAAAAUGUCUAUCAUUUCUACAUUAAAAGAAGCCAGACUAUUAAAUGGAGGAUGUCCCCAAUGACUUGGCAUGUGAGGUCAUCAAAACAUAGGGUGCGUUUGGGAUUGAGGUUGGGCAGCUGUAGCUUAAAAGCUACAGCACUAAAGUGUUUGGUAAACACUAGCUGUUGUAGCUUUUAAGAUAUAUUGUUAUGAUUUUUCACUUGUAUAAUAUAAAAUUUAUUAUAUCUUUAAUAAUUUAAUCAAAAUUAUUAUUUAAAUUUUAUAUUUACUAUAUAUUAUUAACUUUUGUUUCAUAAUUACAGCUUUUUUUUCACAGCAGCUGUAGCUUAAAAGGUACAGCACCUCAAUCCCAAACGCACCCAUAAGAGCAAAGACCAAAUUUGAAAGAUAUUUCAAUGGUGAACGAAUUUCAUGAGGUCUUUCCUGAAAAACUCACAAGAUUGCCACCGAAUCGAGAAAUUGAAUUCAAAAUCGAUUUGCUAACAAGAACUGCUCCAAUUUCAAAGGCGCUUUAUGAGAUGUCCGCACCAGAACUAAAAGAAUUAAAGAGUCAAUUGCAAGAAUUACUAGACAUGCAAAUGUGAAGCACCAGUAUUGUUCAUAAAAAAGAAGGAUAGAUCAAUGCAAAUGUGCAUCGACUACUGAGAGCUGAACAAGGUGACUAUCAAGAACAAAUACCUGCUUGCAUGCAUUGAUGACUUGUUUGAUUAGUUGCAAGGAGCAGCGGUAUUUUUAAAGAUUAAUCUAUGAUCAGGAUAUCACCAGUUGAGAAUCAGGGAAGAAGAUAUUCUUAAAACAGUAUUCAGAAAACUUUAUGGACACUAUAAGUUUGUCAUAAUGCCAUUUGGUCUACCUAAUGCCCCAACAGCCUACAUGGACCUCAUGAACAUGGUAUUUAAAGACUACCUAGACAAAUUCAUAGUGGUAUUCAUUAAUGAUAUUUUAGUCUACUCACGAUCAAAGGAAGAACAUGUUAAGCACUUAAGGAUUUUUCUUCAGACCUUGAAAGAGAAACAACUUUAUGCAAAACUAAAAAAAUAUGAGUUUUAGCUUGAAAAAGUAACUUUCCUUGGACACAUUGUGUCUAAGGAUGGAAUUUUAGUAGACCCCUUAAAGGUGGAAGAUGUAAACCAAUUGUCUAGAUCGACUAAUGCCAAAAAAGUCAAAAGCUUCUUGGGUUUGGCUGGAUACUACCGAAGAUUUGUGGAAGGUUUCUCGAAGAUCGCAAUGCCACUGACCCAGUUAACAAAGAAAAAUACUAAGUUUCUAUGGACUCUAGAAUGCUUGAAAAGUUUUAAAGAACUAAAAAGACGACAAAUCACUACUCCAAUCCUAGCCGUUCCUAGUAGCUCUGAGGAAUUUGUCAUCUAUAGCGAUGCCUCUAAAAUGGCAUAGGAUGUGUCCUCAUGCAAAAUGGGAAAGUCAUUUCAUAUGCUUCCAGACAAUUGAAAGAAUAUGAGAAAAAUUAUCCAACGCAUGAUUUAGAGUUGGCAGUACUAAAAAUAUGGCAUUACUAUUUAAUGAGGGCGCAUUGUAAGAUUUACACUGAUCAUAAGAACCUCAAAUACUUCUUUACACAAAUGGAGUUAAAUAUACGACAAUUACGUUGGAUAGAGCUUGCCAAGGAUUACGAUUGUGAAAUAAACUAUCAUCCUAGAAAAGCAAACAUGGUAGCAGAUGCACUAAGUAGAAAGUCAAGCUUGUCAGCUUUAAGGAUUCUACCUAAACCAUUACAAGAUGACAUAUGCAAGGCAGAAAUCGAGCUAGUAGUAGGAAAAUUAGCUAACAUGACACUUCGUUCAACUUUAUUAGAAAAGAUUAAAGAGGGGCAGGAAAGCGAUUCCAACUUGAAGAAGUUGAAGAUAGAAGCCAACUCAAAGGAGAUGUCAUUUAAAAGUUAGAGAGGGGAAUCAUCUUUUGCAAGGACAGGAUAUGUGUGCCAGACAAUAAAGAUAAAAAAGAAAGAAAUUCUAUUUGAAGCUCACACAACUCCACGUUCACUUUACCUUGGUAUAACAAAAUGUACAAAAACUUAAAGAAGAAUUAUUGGUGGCCUGGAAUGAAGAAAGAUAUAGUGGAGUUCGUGAAAAAAUGUCUCACUUGUCAAUAAAUCAAAGUGGAGCACGAGAGACUAGCAGGACUUUUGUAAUCUAAUCAAAGCCCUUAAUGGAAAUGGGAAGAAAUCACGAUGGACUUCAUCGUUAUUCUUUCAAAAACUACCAAAAUGCAUGAUGCCAUUUGGGUGAUCAUUGAUCGACUUACAAAGUCUACUCACUUCUUGCCUAUUCGAAUGACAUACACCAUGGACCAACUUGCAGAAAUAUAUGUAAAAGAGAUAGUAAGACUACAUGGUGUGCCCAUUUUUAUUAUUUCUGAUCAAGAUGCAAGGUUUACUUUGACAUUCUGGGAAACGUUAUAUAAGGCUAUGGGGACAAGAUCAAAGUUCAAUAUAACAUUUCACCCUCAAACAGAUGACCAAUCAGAAAGAACGAUUCAGACGCUUGAAGAUAUGCUGUGAGGAUGUAUUAUUGACUUUCAAAGAUCAUGGAGCAAGUAUUUACCAUUGGUUAAAUUCGCUUACAACAAUAGUUACCAAGCAACAAUUAACAUGGCACCAUACGAAGCUCUAUAUGGUAGAAAAUGUAGAUCGCCUAUUCAUUGGGAUGAGAUGGGCGAGUAAAGACAUCUUGGACCUGAGUUAAUUACUACCUCAUCUGAAGCGAUCAAGAAAAUACGUCAAAGAAUGCAGGCAGCUCAAAGUCGACAGAAAAGUUAUGCAGAUAAGAGGCAAAAGCCUUUGGAAUAUUGGUGACAAAGUAUUUCUAAAGGUUUCCCAAUAAAAGGAUCAAUGAGAUUUAAGAAAAAAGGAAAAUUAAGUUUGAGGUUUAUUAGGCCAUUUGAAAUACUCGAUCGUGUCGGGAAUGCUUCCUACCGACUUGCCCUCAUACCAUCAUUAUCAAGAAUGCAUAAUGUCUUUCAUGUCUCCACGCUAAAGAAAUACGUCCCCUAUGUGCUAGAUUAUAAACCUUUUCAACUAUAAGGAGACCUAACCUAUGAAGAACGUCUAAUUCAAAUUCUUGAUAGAAAGAUAAAAGAUUUAAGGAAUAAGAAGAUCCCUUUAGUUAAAAAAUUAUGGUAAAAUAACUCAGUAGAGGAGACAACAUGGGAACGUGAGGAAGAGAUGAAGAAUAAGCAUCCUAAGCUAUUCAGUAAGUAAAUUUCGAGGAUGAAAUUUUUAAAAAGGGGGAGGAAAUUGUGAGGUACAAAUUUCUCCUUUAAAUAUAAUAGAUUUUAUUUUAAUCUAACAAGCCCCUAAAAUUUAUAAUGUUUAAUUUUAAGGAAUGAUGACAUAAGUAAUGAUAUAAGAAAUGAUGACAUAAGUGAUGACAUAAGUGAUGAUGUAAGAAGAAGUAUGUAGAGAAAGUUAAGACUUAUUGAAUUUAGUAAGUUAUUUAUGAAGAUUAAUCUCAACCAUUGAUCAAGAGUUGUGGUGGCAAAAUCCUAACCAUCCAUUAACUUUAAGAAAUUCUAUAAAUACCCCCCACCACUUCUCAUUUUCAAUGCAACCUAAAAAUUUAAUUCCGUUAUAUUCUAAGUCAUAAUAACAAGAGUAAAUGAAUCCUUAAUUUAGAAAGAUAUAGAGAAGUCAAGAUCAAGAGGUAAGUAACACUUCAACUACAAUGUAAGGAUAAAAUUCUUUUCAUACUUAAGUUCAGUUUUAACAAUUCCUUUAUAUUAUGAUGGCUAUUAUAGUGUGAUUAGUUAUAUCUUUAUAUGGUCGGCCAUGCCGCCUAAUAUAUGAUGCUAUGGUCGGCUCUGGCACAUAAUAUGUGAUGUUAUGGUCGACUCUGCUGCCUAAUAUGUGAUGUUAUGGUCGGCUCUGCCGCCUAAUAUGUGAUACUUAUACUUAAUUAUGCUAUGGUCGGGUAUGCCGCCUAUACUAAAGACUCUUGUUUUUAAAUAAUGUUGUGUGUUGAUUUUGUUAUGCAUCGAGGAAUUUCAAAUGUUAUAAGUUGCAUUGGAUGCAUGCAUAUCAUGGACUACAUUAUAAAGAAAAUGUUUCAAAAAAUGAAUGUAUGAAAAAUAAGUAGUUGUACUACCAGGUGGCAAAAUUCUAAGGAGGGGAAGCCCUCAAAGCUAAGUUAAAAGAAAUAUUUUGGGGAUGGCGAUAUGUAACACCCAAAAGAUCAACUAAUGAGGCCCAAAGGCAUAUUGUUUAAAGAGUAAAAAUGCCAGCUUUGUAGUGCAAUAUACUUAGGGCGUAAAUAAAGUAGUUUUGUAUUUUCUAAGUUUAUUUUAAGAGCUUAAUAUGGUAAUCCAUAUGCAUAAUAAUUUAUACAUGCAUCAAAGUGUUAUCUUACUUGACAUUAGCUCCCUAAGUCCUUAGAUUGCAGGUAACGAUGAGUAGGGCAAGUUGGCGUCAAGUCCUAAUCAAGACGAAGUGCAUAUGGGCAUAAUAGACCUUGGGAUUUUAUACUGGGCUCAGCUUUGUUUCAAUAAAAAUAAACAUCUUAGUUUUGUGUAAAAUAAAGUUUUUAUACUAAGGAGUUUCUAUAUGACUCUUACUUUUUGUAAGAAUGUUUGUUUGUUGUAAACUUUUAGAAUUCGUAUUUAUAUUAAAAGUAACUAUAUUUUUAAGUAUUUUUAAGUAAAUAAUAUAGUGGAGUGUUGCAUUUUUGCCCCGCUCUACUCUGCUAGCUUACACAAUACUUGUUUUCUAUUUAAUUAAAAAUUAAAACAACAGAUAUCCUUAAAAUAUCUAGAUCGUGAAAGAUGGAUUUCAAAAAAGCCGACCCCCCGCUCUUAAGAGAUGAUCGUUCAACCAAGAAUGCCAGUUUUUUUUCAAUUUAGGAGCUGACAGAGAUAAUCUGGUCACUCUCUCUUUCAGGGACAAACUGUUGGAGUCUCAAAGAACUGUUGCGGAGGAUCUAAUUACAGAAGAUGAUGUAUUGGAGUUUGAGCCCGAAGAGAUUAUGGUUGAACAUGGGAUGACUAUGCCAUCUAUUUCUUUCUCUCUGAGAAUGCAUGCACAAUUGGUUAGGCCAUUGCAGUAUGCGGUGGUGGUUAAAUUACUUGGGCGAUCGAUUCGCUAUCGGGCCCUUUGUAAUCAUUUGGGAGCGUUAUAGAAUUCAACUACAACUUUUAACGUUAUUGAUUUGGAAAAUAAGUAUUUCUUAAUCCGGUUUAAAUCCAAAGAAGACAUGGGUUUUAUUUUAACACAAGGACCAUGGACGAUAAUUGGGCAUUAUUUAAUCGUCUAGCCGUGGUCUCCACAGUUUGAUAGUUUGAAGAAGAAGUGUGAUUCUAUCAUAUUAUGUAUUAGGUUACUUGGGAUGACACUUCACUACUAUCAUAAGCGCAUCUUUAAGAUGAUUGGACAUAAAAUUGGCAAUGUUGUUCGGAUAGAUUAUAAUACGGAGUUCGCGACAAGAGGCAAGUUUGUGAGAAUUGCAGUUGAAGUCUCAUUUUCAAAUCCUCUGGUCUUACAAUUGCUUUUGGAUGGUAAGGUCCAGAAAGUCAAGUAUGAGAAUCUCCCAAUUAUUUGUUUUAGCUGUUGAAAAUAUGGUUACUAUAAUGAGGCCUACCCUGAUAGAGUUACGAGAAAUGAAACAAUGAGAGAGAAGGGGCUCGGUGGUGAGAAAACUACUACCGAAGUUUUGUUAACAUAAAUAUUUUUUUAUUAUUGAUUUUAAUGAUAAUAAACUUGAUUAAGAUUGAUUAAUCUUUUAAAAGCUCAAAAUAGUUUUCAUAUACUUUUAAAUCAUCAUUCUCACUAUAUAAAGACUUUAUAUUCUAUGAAAAUAUUUUUGGUUAUUCUCAUGUUAAUGGUUUCAAUUGAAAAAGCUUUGAGAAUUUUGAUAAUAACAAGUAUUGCUUCAAACCCUGUAAAUGGACCUAUUUGACAAGUUUUAUAAAGUUUUAGGCCAUAGUAUAAUUUUAUAAAAUUUUUAGGGCCAAACUAUAAUUUUACAAAAACAAGUCAUUGUAGCAGUCACUGCAGAAAAUGGUGAUCCCACAUCUUGAUAACGGCUCAUCGACAUCGAACAGAAUCGAAGAUUAGUCUUUGAACAGUAACGGUAAUCCGACAUCUAGAUAAUGGCCAUCCGACAAUUUAAAAAUUUAGUCCAAUGGUCAUAUUGACUAUUCAAAACGGUGAUCCGAUAUCUAGUUAACAGCGAUCCGACAAUGUGCAGAAAGUCAAUAACGGCUAGUUUUCAGCUCCAACUAUAAAUUAACUCAAUCAAAUUCAAACUUUAACGAUUCUAACAAUUAUUAUUGAGCAAGACCUUGAGAAUACAACAUUCAUUAACCUUAAAUUCUUGUAUUCAUCUCAGUUACUCAUACUUUGAAUCUUCAUUUGUAAUCAAACACAUUGUGUGAGAGAGAUUUAUUUUGUAACAUUCUUUAAAAUCAAAUUGAGUGAUUGUAAGUGUUGAGAUACACUUGGGUUAAGAGAUUGGAGAUAAUCUCUUGUUGUAAAGGUUUAUUGACACCUUAGAAGUCAAGUGUAAGCAUUUGAAGCCUUGGAGGCUUGCUUAGUAGAAUCCUCAAGCCCGGAAAGCUUGAAGGCAUGGACGUAGGUGAGGUUGGCCGAGCCACAUAAAAAUCCUUGUGUUUGAAUCUCUCUUCCCUUAUCUUUUUAUAUUGUAAUAAAUUUAUUUGUUAUUGCUUUAAAUUUGUUUUAGAUUUGCAUUCAGCUUUGCUUUAAAAAUUAAUAAUUUUUAGAAUCCCCAUUCACCCCCUCUUGGGUUGCAUAACUAGAAUUUCAUUUGGUAUCAGAGCCUUGUUCUCUUGUUAGGACUUAAUCGUCUAGAGUAAAAUAUUCAUGGCAACCCUAAAUGACUCAAUCUUUAGAGAAGGACAAUUCACAACUAGACUACCGUUCUUUGACGGUAAUGACUAUGCGUAUUGGAAAACUAGGAUGAGAAUCUAUUUGCAAGCUUUAGAUUAUGAAAUUUGGGAAGUUGUUUGUGAUGGUCCAUUCAUGCCUAUGAUUAAAAAUGAAGUAGGAGAUGAUAUUCUUAAACCAUAAAGUCAAUAGAGUGAGUUAGAAAAGAGAAAUAUGUCCUUAAACUCCAAGGAAAUUAAUGCCUUGUUUUGUGCUCUUGACAAGAAAGAAUUCCAUAGAGUAUCUAGUUGUGAGAGUGCCAUUGAAAAUUGGCACAAACUUGAAGUUGUCUAUGAAGGCACAAAUCAAGUGAAAGAGUCGAAGAUUAGUAGGUACACUCGACAAUAUGAGUUGUUACAAAUGGAACAAAUUGAGAGUGUGUACUCUAUGUAUACUAAAUUUACGGACAUAGUAAACACCCUAGAAGCUCUAGGAAAUACCUUCUUAAAUAGCGAGAAAGUUAAGAAAAUCAUUAGGUCACUUCCAAAAGAAUGAAGACCUAAAAGAACUGUUAUUGAAGAGGCCAAAAAUUUAAAUAUUUACCCCUUGAUGAUUUAAUUGGUUCUCUCAUUUUAUAUGAAGAAUAUUUGGCAGCAGAGAAAAGACAUGAGGAGAAGCAGAAAAAUAUUGCUCUCAAAGCCUCAAAAUAUGAGAGUGAUGGGGAGUGAACCGGAUAAUGAAGAGCUGGCCAUGCUAGCAAGGAAGUUCAGAAAAUUUUUCAAGAAAACCAAUGAAUGAAGAAAAUUCAAAAACUUCAAGAACCAAAGGGAGAAGAAAGAGGUAAUCACAUGCUAUGAAUGUAAAAAACCCGGCCAUAUAAGAUCGGAGUGCCCACUUAUCAACAAACUCAAGAAGAAAUCCAUGGUUGCAACUUGGGAUGAUAGCGAUGAAGAUUCAAGUGAUGAAGAAGAGUCGCAAGAAGUAUCAAACCUAGCACUCAUGGCAAUAGGAGAUGAUGAUAAUCUCAAUGAGGUAAGUAAUCCUACUUAUGAUGAAUUGUGUGAUGCUUUUAAAGAAUUGCAUAAUGAGUUGAUGAAGAUUGAUAAAAAGAAUGUAUGUCUUAAAAAGGAAAUGGUAGAGCUCAAAAAUGAAAAUGAAUCUCUAAACGCAAAAAUUACAUGCUUAGAAGUAGAGAACAAAACAUUGCAUGAUAGAAUUGCAUUAUCAAAUAAGAAAGCUAACACCUCACAUGAGCAUUUAGAAUCACACAUAGAUGAUUUGAAAAAUGAAAAUGAAACGCUUAAGAAAAAAGGAAAUGAGUUAAAUGAGAUUGUUUUAAUAUUUACAAAUGGGCAAAAGAUGUUGGAUAACAUGCUCAAUUCACAAAAAUGUGUGUUUGACAAAGGGGGUAUUGGGUAUAAGCCAAACUUGAAACAAAAUAUUAUAAGAACUACUUUGUGAAGAGUACAUCUAGUAGCAAUCAAGUUGUAUGUAAUUUCUAUAAUCAAGAUGGUCAUAUGAAAAAUAGGUGUUUAGUAAAAAGAAAUACAUAUUAUGGUAUGAAAUGCAUUUGGGUUCCAAAAUGAACCAUUGCUAACUCUCAAGGACCCAAAAAGCUUUGAGUACCUAAAACUUGAAAUUUUCUCUACAGGGCAUGAAGAAGAAGAAAAAUAAAUGGUACUUGGACAAUGGUUGUUCAAGGCACAUGAUCGGAAACUAUACAUGGUUCUCAAGCUUCACCAAAAUUGAAAAUAGUGGAGACGUAUCUUUUGGAGACAACUCAAAAGGCAAAAUUCUCAGAAUUGGAAAUGUUGGUAAAGUUUCAUCAACUCUAAUUGAGAAUGUAUGUUUGGUUGAGAACUUAAAACACAACUUGAUUAGUAUUAGUCAAUUAUGUAACAAAGGAUAUAAAAUUAUUUUUGAUAAAUUUAGUUGUGUCAUUCAGAAUUCAUGUGAUGGCAAGAUCUUAUUUGUUGGAAAUAGAUGUGGUAAUGUUUAUAUAAUUGACAUAGAAUGUGCAUCUACUCUUGAUAAAUGUUUUUCGGCAUUGCAUGAUGAUAGUUGGUUAUGACAUAGAAAACUAGGACAUGCAAGUAUGGAUUUGAUUUCAAAAAUUUUGAAAAAUGAUUUAGUCAAAGGUCUUCUAAAAAUCGGUUUUCAAAAGGAUAGAAUUUAUGAAGCUUGUCAAUUUGGAAAAAAAAAUCAAAACAUCUUUUAAAAACAAAAAUCAUAUUUUCACUUAAAAACAACUUCAACUUCUUCACAUAUAUUUGUUUGGACCUUCAAGGUAUGCUAGCUUGAAUGGAAAAUAUUACACUUUUGCAAUUGUUGGUGAUUUUUCAAGAUACACAUGGGUAUUAUUCUUAACUAAUAAUGAUGAUGCUCUUGAUGCUUUUAAAGUACUUUGUAAGAAAAUUCAAAAUGAAAAAGGGUAUGGUAUUGUAUGCACUAGAAGUGAUCGUGAAGGCAAGUUUGAAAACUAUGCAUUUGAAACCUUUUGCAAUAAUCUUGGCAUUGUGCACAAUUUUCAUCACCUAGAACUCCACAACAAAAUGGAGUUGUUGAGAGAAAGAAUAGGUCAAUUCAAGAAAUGGCUAGGACUAUAUUGAAUGAAAAUUCUUUGCCUAAGUAUUUUUGGGCCAAGGCCGUCAACACCGCUUGUUAUGUUUUAAAUCGUGUGUUGAUUAGAUUUAAUCUUAAUAAAACUCCAUAUGAGCUUUGGAAAGAUAGAAAACCCAAUAUUGGUUAUUUCAAAGGUUUUGGAUGGAAAUGUUUUAUUUUGAACACAAAAGAUAAUCUUGGCAAAUUUGAUCCAAAAUCUAAUGUUGGUAUUUUUCUUGGAUAUUCAAAUUCAAGUAAAGCUUAUAGAGUUUAUAACAAAAGAACUCUAAUUGUAGAAGAAUCUAUGCAUGUUACAUUUGAUGAGUCUAACCCCUCCUCUGUGGAGAAAGGAAUUACUUAUGAUGAUGCAGAUGGAGAGUUACAAGAAGAAUCAUCAAAGGAUAAACAAGAGAAUGCUCCACAAAGAAAUCAAGAGAACGGACAAGAAGAGCAAACAAAUAUGGAACAACAUGAAGGUACUUCUCAAGCACUCCCCAAGUAGUGGAGGUAUAUUUCUUCACAUCCUAAGGAUGUAAUUUUAGGAGAUCCCUCACGAGGUGUUACAACUAGAUCAUCACCUAGGAAUGCUUGUGAGCAUAAUGCAUUUAUUUCUCGAAUUGAACCCAAAUCCUUUGCGGAUACAGAAAAUGAUGAAUCUUAGAUUAUGACAAUGCAAGAGCAGUUAAAUCAAUUUGAGAGAAACAAUGUGUGGGAAUUAGUUCCUAAACCGAAACAUCAAUCUAUCAUAGCUACUAAAUAGGUUUUUAGGAAUAAGAUGGAUGAAUCCGGUGUGGUUAUAAGGAAUAAAGCUAGAUUAGUUGCUCAAGGUUACAACCAAGAAGAAGGAAUUGAUUUUGAUGAAACAUUUGCACCCGUAGCUAGAUCAGAAUCAAUUAGAAAAAAGAGAGCCUAUGGCUGACUAUUCAAUUUUUGAGUAAGGGUUUCAAUAUUUGAUUGGACAAUUAGAAGGAGAAUUAACUCUGUUUUCUCAUGAAUUUGGAAUGUAAGUUCUCAGCAUAGUCCUCUACAUUCUUACUAGUCUUGAUUUUUAUUUUAUCCUUUCGGUGGCUGUUAUUUAAAAUACUCAUUUGUUAGAGAGAUAGAUAUUAGAGUGUUAUUGUGAGCCAAAAUUGUUGAGAUUUUUGAUGUUGUUAAUAUCUAAUGUUAUCUAAAGAAGAAUUUGUGUUUUAAUCCCAUUAUUUAUUUAGUUGAACAUUAUAUUGGACUAUAAUCUCAUAGUGUUUUUUCCAAUUUGGGUUUUCUAUGUAAAAAUUUGUGUCUCUUCUAGUUGAUUUAUUACUUUGGAUUGUAUUGCUUUAUUUUCUGCGUAUUAAUUUGUGAUGCAUAUUCCAUUUUAAGCACACAAGGAGGGAAAAAGUUUGCUUUCGCUUUCUUUGUAGUUGUUUGUGUGAAUUCUUUUCCUAACAUUAUAAAGGGUUGAAUGCUUUAUUGACUUAUUUUCUUAGGGUACAGGACGGAUCAUGUAUUUAUAUCAAGAAUAGAGGAAUUAUAUAUGGAAGAAAUAUUUUUCUUGAAUUAUUGGGAUUCAUUAUAAACUUAGACAUUAGCUAGCUGUUGGCUAAGUUACGAAGAAAAUCUAGACUUGAAUGAUAGUUAGCUAUCAUUUUUUUUUUUCGCGAGUUUGCAUGUCACAAGAUUUUGUGAGAUGAUUCCAUUGCAGGCCUUUAGUAGAGUAAUACAAAUUGCCAUAUUUGUAUCAAAUGGUUUGUUACUUAGGACCAGAUGUGACUAUUUGAAAUCCAUGAAUUCCACAUGUGGUGGGCAAUGUAUAUCAACAUAGUUGUCUUUUAUAAGUAGUUUAAUAGUAUUUUAUACUUUAAUUAAUUACAUACUUGUGUGUAUUAUUUAGUUAAUAAUGCUUAGGACCAGAUGUUUCAAUUUUACAAAAUUCAAAUUUUAACUAGAAUAAAAAAAAAUUAGGGCUUGACUCACUUAAAUGUAAUGUAACAUUUAAAUAAACUCAUGAGUCAACCUAUAACAGCUCAAUUGUUUCACUUAUUGUAAUUUUUAUUAUUUUGCGUGACAAUUCAAGCGUUGUUGUAUGUAACAUAUGAUGUGACGUAGCAUGACCCUAAAAAAUUAUAUAUUACAUAUUACAUCACUGUACUAUUUUGACAAUUUUGAUUCCAAGUCCAAAUGAAAGUAAUAUUUAAUUUUUUUAGCUGAAAUAUAAAUGAGUUUUAAUUUUUCUAAAGUAUAAAUACAAAUAUUUGAGCAAUAUUUUUUUAAAUAUCUGAAUAUAAAUGGCUUCUUUUUAUUUUUAUAAAUAUAAAAAUAUUAAACAUGAUUAUUUGAUAUGUAUAUCCUUUUAAAUAAAAAAAUUAAAUUUUAUAGUUUAGGGAAUAAGUAUAUUUUAUAGAGAUAGUUUUGGAAUAUAUAACAUUUACUUCUCAUUUAGACCUUUUCUCUAUUUUGGUAAAAAUUAUAAAAGUUUAUUUAUUAUAUUUAAAUGUAAAUAUUUGAAAAUCAGAGAUAAAUUAGAAACAAAAAUGCAAAUUUUUUUAAAAAUAUGAAAUUAAUAGAAUUUCAGACUUCAAACAUUUAAUAAACAAGCCUUUAGAUUUUAUAAAAUUCGGACAUGCGGACUAGUUACACUUUUGUAUGUAUCAUUUACUGUCACACCUUUAAUUUUAUUUUGCGAUAUUAUAGAGAGAGCCCAAUAUUUUUUUUCAAAUGAAACGAUCAACACAAUUUCACAAAUUGAACGAAACUUACUGUGAGAAGAUGUUAUUAGAUCCAGAGGCUAUUGCAUUCUUGUUUCAAGUCAAGCUCUUGAUCUUGAACAAACUCCAAAUCAGGCAUUCUGUCAUUUCAUGAGUUCAUUUUCCGUUUUUCCGAAAAAAAAUGAUGAGAAAAAAAAAUCAUAAGGUAUUUUUUUCAAAGUGACUCCAAACAUAAAUUUUCCAUUAUUUUCGUUUUUGCGAACAAGUUUUGUAUGUUACAAUUUUUUAUUAUACCUUUAUUAUUUUCUCAACAAGCUACCAGUUGUUUCUUCCAUAAUGAAAUGGCAAUAUAAAUUGGUAACGUAAACACUUUUCUAGAUGCACAAAAUUUUUUAGACAAAUCUAAAAUUCUGUGUGACUAUUUCUAAACACAAAAGGACCUGUGUAACAAUUUUUGAAUUCUGAUGUCAAUGUCUUUUUCUUUUUUCUUUUUUUUUUGAAGAAAAGGAAAAAUAGUUUUUUAGAAAAACAUAUGUUGAUUUAAUCAGAGUCAUCUUGGUUUCAAUAAAUAAUUAAUCUUCUAGUAUAGUAGUCUUGCUGUCAGUGCAAUGUACUGAUUAUUCAAUUCACUAUGUACAAAUUACAAGUCAUCUUAACAUUAUGAACCAAAAAAAAAAAAAAAAAGCACAUCUUGUAAAGCACACUUGUAGAAAAAUCAUCAAAAAUGGUUCCAUGAUCCAGAUUUACACAAAAUCAAGCUAAAAUAGACAUGGCCAAACUUCCACAAGAUAUUUUUACUGAUACACUAUCGCGGCUACCUAUUGAGGUCCCUUUUUAUGGUUUAAGUGUGUAUCCAAGACAUGGUUUUCUUUAAUCUCUAAUUCUCAAUUUGCCAAAUUCCAACUCUAACAAGCAAUUUUAAAAGUCCGGUACCAGUGGUAAAAUUUGUAGAGUCUUACUCACGACUUCUCCACUUCAAUCCAUCGAUUAUAGAGCAUUUGGAUUUGGUGAUCUGAGAAACGGUAAUGUAACACUGCAACUUGGUUAUCCUGGGAAAAAAAUUCCUGAAGAUGAUGCUACUAUUAUAGGAUCCUGUAAUGGCAUGGUGUGCAUAUAUUUUGAUUCCACCAACAUGGUCGAGUUUCCAGGGAAUUCUCAAUGCCUGAUCCUUUUCCUGAACAAGAUGAUUUUUCAAAUGGGUUUGGUUAUGAUAUCUUUGGUUAUGAUUAUAAACUGAUUAGAUGUUUUAUUUCAACUAUUGGAAAUGGAAACGUUUCCAGGGAAACUAAACUUCUUGUUUUUUUCUUGUUUUUUUCCCCUGAAAAACGGUUCCUGGAAAGAAAUUUAGUACUUUCUUUGGAGUGCUGAUAUCUUCAGAAUAGGAGUUCUGUCAAAUAACCUACUGCAUUGGCUUGAAAUGCAAAAAGGAGUUGUGUCAUUCGAUCUGAUAGAAGAAAGAUUCGAAGAGAUUUUGUCUUUGCAAGAUCAUACUGACCAAAAUACGUAUGUUGUAAACUAGAGAAAUUGGAGAGACCGCCUUAUCAUUUUCAACGAUCAAAAGGACCGUAGUUUCGGGGCCUGGGAAUUGAAAGAAUCACAUGGACUAGAGUGUUCAGCAUCUCAAGUAAGAUAUUUCCUAAAUAUGAAUAUUAUCCAACUCUAGUAGGCUUUACUAAAGAGCAUAAAGUUUUGGUGGAGAUUGAUGGAGGGAAGUUAGUUUUGUAGAACAAAAAAGGAAAAGACAUUCAGAAGUUUUGAGAUAUAUGAUGAGUGGCAUUGAUUUGAAGGUAUCAUGUGCGAGGAAAGUUUAGUUUCUCCAAUUGUUGAUGAAGCAAGCAAGUUUUAGAAACAAUGCUCUAAGGAAAAGGUAAUAAUGACAUUAUCAGUUUUGGCCUUUGACUUUUUUUUUUUUUUUUUUCUGAACACUUAUCACUUGCUGCAUCUGAAAUGUGAUUCAUAAUGGCAGUGGCAUCUUUACAACUCUUUAAAAAUAAAAAGCGAAAAAAUAGAAAAGAAAAUUGCGAUAUUCAUAUUCUACCAUGUCGUAUAUUCAUUUGCUUUUUCUGAUCAAGAUGCAUGAGCCUCAAGUGGGUGCAUUUAAGGUUGGGUUUUAAAGUUUAUUGAAGCACUCAACAACUCAUAAAUGCAAUUAUUGCCACAAUAAUGGAAGUAUCUUUCAAAUUUUUAUUUUGAUCAAAAGUCAUCUGGAUUUAAUCUAUAAAUAAAAUCUGCAUGUGCAUAUAGUCUCAGUGUCUCUAAUGGCUGAGAUUUAAAAACUAUGUCCAUCUCUGCUUAGGUGUCGAUGCAUUGACCAAUUAAAUCAACCAUAAAUAGAUUAUUAGUAAGGUGUGGAUCACCCCUUAUGAACUCAACAUCUCUCCCAUGCUUUGUCAAUAUGGGAUUCGCCUAGGGUGUUAUAUACACCCCCUUAGGGAGUCAGCGUCUUUGCUGAGAUUUGCCCCACUAUCGCUCAAGAGGACACGCAGAAUCGCUCUGAUACCAUAAUGUCAUGACCUCGCUCAUACCUGACAAAAUAUUGUCUGCUUUAAACCUUAUUAAUGCCCGUGUGUGUUUGUUUAUGGGGCGCCUCAAAGCUAUAAAUUUCUUAUCAUUUCUUAUCUUUUUGAAGCUAUCAAAAGAUACACUAUAGUUAGCAAUAAGAAUAGUGCUGGCUAAGUGUUGGCAGGAGAAAGAAUCUAGAGAUAAUUUUUAAUAAAGAUGGUUAAUUUAGAAAUUUUAUAUGCGUUUAGUGAAUGAAUAAUGCUGCAUGUAUUUAAAAUAGCACAAAAUUUAAUACAAAAGCAUAAAAAAUUAAAAAAAUUCUUGUGUUGUGGUGAAUUCUUUUCUUGUAAUGAAUUUUUUUUUUUUUUCAGUGAUGGCGUACUAUUUUUUAUACUAUCUUUUUUUUAUAUAUAUUGGUAUUGUCAGCCAACCGAUGAAUAAAUUGUAAAAUAUUAAUGUGAAAAAUCUCUGCACCUCUUCGAAUUUUAUUUUUUAAAAGAUAAGGAGAUAAAUGAUUUCAAAUUAAUCUUUUAACUCUCUAACUUUUGUCAAAUUUAAAUUUGAAUAGCCAACAAAAUAAAAUUAAUUGAAAACUCUACCUCCGUACUCCGAGUGCGAUUAUUUUGACUCGAAUUAAUGCCUUAAAAAUUUGAAAAACAGACCAGCACAUUGAAUAUAUAAAAUGUGCCUGUAUAUACAUCACACCCUGCCAAUCACGGUGUUGUAAUAAUUGAAUCAUUGAUCAGUAAAUAUAUCUUAUUGUCCUUUUCUCAUGCGCAUGCAUCAUUACGAAGUCAUGCUAACAGUGUUGUUAGAUUGUAACUUGUUAGAUUAUAACAAAUCAUAUUUGCAAAUAUUCACAUGAGGAGUCAAACAUGCUUGCAUAAAGUUAGUCCACAUUUGCGAGCAAGCGUGAUUAUAUAUAAUGUGCUUCUCUAUUAUAGUGUAUGAUCAAUCAGGCAAGCUUAAUUUAAUUGAUCAUCAGUAUCUAUGGAUGCGAAUCAAGAUCUAGGAGCAAAAGAGUUGUUUCAAGGCCAAGCUCAACUGUAUAAGCUCAUGUUUAAUCAUUUAAGCUCGAUGUCACUCAAGUGCGCGAUUGAGCUAGGCAUAGCGGAUAUAAUUCACAGCCACGGACGGGCCAUCACUCUUUCUGAGUUGGUCUCGGCACUUGAUAUUCAGCCUACAAAAACGACUGGUUUAUUCAGGCUCAUGCGCUUGUUAGUUCACUCGGGCUGCUUUAACAAAACCAAAGUCAAUGGACAAGAAGAAGCAUACGGGCUCACAGCUGCUUCUACUCUGCUCAUCAAAGACAAGCCCUACUGUUUAUCACCAACUGUUUCAGUAUUUCUUGACCCAUGUUUUGUCGCUGCAUUUCAGUCUUUAGGUAGUUGGUUCAAAGGGACUGAGCUCACGUUGUGGGAAACUGUUCAUGGAAUCAAGUUCUGGGAAUUUAUGAAUCAAAACCCUGGAAUAAACCAGCGGUUCAAUGAAGCAAUGGCCAGUGACACUGAAAUACUGACAAGCUUUGUUGUCAAAGCCGAGUGCAAGCAAAUCUUUGAAGGGUUGGGCUCAUUGGUUGACGUAGGAGGUGGCAACGGAUCGCUUUCCAGAAUCAUCUCUGAAGCAUUCCCUGGCAUCAAAUGCACUGUACUCGACCUCCCGC
rnacentral:lncRNA from 1 species